rnacentral:rRNA from 1 species
AUGAAGAUAACACUUAAGAAUAAAAUCUUUGCGUGGUAUCUUCGUCGCAGAGUCAUUCUUACUAAACAUAACCUUAUUAAGAGAAAUUGGCAUGGAAGUACGCAAUGUGUUUUCUGACAGCAUGAUGAGACAAUAAAACACUUGUUCUUCCAAUGUAAAUUGGCUCGUUCUAUAUGGUCAGUCAUCCAAAUAGCUUCUGCCUUGUAUCCUCUUUUAGUGUUGCCAAUAUUUUUGGCAACUGGUUACAUGGGAUAG